rnacentral:lncRNA from 1 species
CUUCACUAAUGGGAACAAUAGAACAGCUUCAGCUUUUGCAAUCAAACUUGGAUCUAUUGGACACUCAUGUGGAAAGUUUGAAUUUACUCUACGAGAAGGUUGAUUCUCUGCAUGAACUUCUUGACCAUAUUGAUGAUGAACAAACGAAGAAUUUGCACACAAAAGUCAGACACAUAGCAAAUGAAGCAGAAGAUGAAGUUUUUCUUGACCAUUUUAAUGAUGAACAAACGAAGAAUUUGCAUGCAAAAGUCAGACAAAUAGCAAAUGAAGCAGAAGAUGAAGUUGAAUCGCAGAUGAAGGUGGUAAUAGACG